UUAUGAUGAGCAAUUUUAGAUGACGAGUCUGAUCCGGUUUACCGAUGUUGACACAAUCAAAUUUAUACCAUUCAUGCCAACUGAAU
rnacentral:snoRNA from 1 species